rnacentral:lncRNA from 1 species
AAACAGCUAAACUCUCAGUCUCACUACAUCCCUGUUAGGCGUGGUAAUUUAACCCGACCCUAUUUUUAGCCCGAUUGACCAGGCCUUAAUUUUUAGGACUUUGGCCCGAAUUUUUGGGUUUCGGGUCGGGUUAGGGCUAAAAUUUUAAGGCCCGAACAAAUUUAGGGUUAGGUCAGGCUUAAAGCCAACUCAACCCGACCUUAUUUAGAAAAAAAAAACUAACACAUGCACACAACACAGCAUCACACACGCACACAACACAGUACACACUACACAGAUCUCAAUCAUUUGCAUCACACAACACACGCACACAAUAGUCAGCACUCAGCGUCACACACGCACACAACCGUAAAUCACACACACAAAAUACACUUACACAAAUUCUCAAAAACCCUAAGCCAGCCACCUAGCCUGCCGCCGAAUUAGCCAGCAUCGUGACUGUCCGCCGCACGCCAGCCAAUCAGUUGUCGUGUGUCUCGCCAAUCAGCCAGCGUGACCGUCCGCGACACCGCGAUGUGAGUGAACCAGCCACGUCCGCCUGCCAGCCAACGACCAACGCACACAUUCUGUCGUCAGCAUUACUGCAUUAGCUAUUUAACUUUGGUAAUUUUAAUUUCAUAUAUUGUGGCUUACUAUAAUUAUAUAGGAUUUUUUAAUUAUUAUGUUAUGAUUGUAAAUUAAGUUUAAUUAUAUUUUAA